rnacentral:lncRNA from 1 species
AAAUUUUUUCCCUCAUUUUGCAAAGCAAAGAACAAUAAAACACCCAUAAAAGCUGUUCCAGCAUCCAGGGCAGCUGACAGAACAUAGUUGUAUUUCUGCCACCAUUCUUUUCGGUAUUUGAAUACAAAAUAAUUGAACAUCAUUCCGGUAAUGAGCCAGCUAGCGAUAUUGGUUGGCGUGGCUGGUGGCAUUCCAGCAAAACCAUAAGAUAUAACUGGUAUGUUGAUCAAUGGGAUCCAUUUCUUUUCGGGGAAGACUAUUGAACAUCAUUCCAGUAAUGAGCCAGCUAGCGAUAUUGGUUGGCGUGGCUGGUGGCAUUCCGGCAAAACCAUAAGAUAUAACUGGUAUGUUGAUCAAUGGGAUCCAUUUCUUUUCAGGGAAGACUUUGCUUAGCAUCCAAACAG